rnacentral:rRNA from 1 species
GACGAACGCUGGCGGCGUGCUUAACACAUGCAAGUCGAACGGAAAGGCCCUGCUUUUGUGGGGUGCUCGAGUGGCGAACGGGUGAGUAACACGUGAGUAACCUGCCCUUGACUUUGGGAUAACUUCAGGAAACUGGGGCUAAUACCGGAUAGGAGCUCCUGCUGCAUGGUGGGGGUUGGAAAGUUUCGGCGGUUGGGGAUGGACUCGCGGCUUAUCAGCUUGUUGGUGGGGUAGUGGCUUACCAAGGCUUUGACGGGUAGCCGGCCUGAGAGGGUGACCGGCCACAUUGGGACUGAGAUACGGCCCAGACUCCUACGGGAGGCAGCAGUGGGGAAUAUUGCACAAUGGGCGGAAGCCUGGUGCAGCAAUGCCGCGUGCGGGAUGACGGCCUUCGGGUUGUAAACCGCUUUCGCCUGUGACGAAGCGUGAGUGACGGUAAUGGGUAAAGAAGCACCGGCUAACUACGUG